ACUUCAUCUUUUUUUUUUUUUAACUUUUAAGUAAUAUAUUUUUUCAAGUUUCAAUUUAUUUAUUUUGAGAGAGAGAGAGAGCGAGACAGAACAAGCUCGGGGCAGAGGAAGAGGAAGAGGGAGAGAAUCCCAAGCAGGUUCUGCCCCAUAGAUCUCACCAACCUUAAGAUCAUGACCUGAGCCUGAGCCAAAAUCAAGGCAGAUGCUUAACCGAUCGAGCUACGCAAGUGCCCCUGAUUUUUAAGUAAUUUAAAGAAAUUUUAUUCAAGUGACCUGUACACCCAACGUGGGGCUCAAACUCACAACCCAGAGAGAUCAAGAGUCACGUGCUCUAUCCACUGAGCCAGCCAGGCUCUCCUAAAACCUACCGCUUUGAGUUCUUAUCUGAGAACUCAAGAUCUCAAGAGGCAAUUUCUACGGUUUGCCUUCUUUCUCUUGCUUCUCUUCCUUUACAAUCCUAGAAUAUUGUGAUUGAAUGAUGAACCCGUGGUGUGAAGGACAGCCAGGUUGGAGAUGUUGUUUCUCUGAAGAUCUUUCACCUUCUCCCCCAGCAGGCAGCAGAGGGGCGCAUCACCUCUAAUCCUUGACGAAGCUGAUUUGCAGCUGGUUCGCCCUCAGGGAAAGCCUCAAUCUACAGCUAGUUUGCUCACACUGCUGUGCUGCAGACGUCCAGGGCUCCUACCUGCGACCUUGGGCGAAUGCUGUUCUGCUACAAAUACUCCAUCAUCACUGAAAGGUAGUAAGUACCUGCUAACCUCGGGGACGUGCCGCACUCUAGACAAGGAAACAAGUUCCAAUGCCUCGGAAAACCGGAGAGGAGUUGACAAAGCGUGUUCAUCGCGUGAAAACCGUGAGUGAGAGAUUCCGAAGACAAAAGGGCAGUCCAGCGGCCCCACUCUGCCUUGCUUCCCACCCGCCUGAAAUGCUAGCUAGCGUCCCCGGGGCCGAGGCGAGUGGGGCCCGAGGGAAGCUGCACGUCCCGGUGGGCUCGCCUGGUGACGCUUCCGCCUUCUCUGCCUUCAUCAGACCACCCUUCAUCGGCACUCGUCCCCUAACCCAGGACGAAUGUGAGGCCUGGAGGAAGUAGGAAGGGCAUAAUUGGUCAGAAGGAGAGCCCACCAUUCGGAGAUACCUUCGAGGCUGGUGCGGUGCUUCCACUUCCUUCGGGUUCCUCUGCCCGGCAGGGAGGUUCCACGACGGCAGGGGUCGGGUCGAUGGUCGUUCUAAUGUCCCCACGCCGAGAACAGGGUCAGACAUUCACCAGGACGCUCUCCUGGGACUUGUAAAUUACUUGGUCGUCUUUAGCUUUUAGGCCCUUGAGGAACUGAAGAACCCCGAGAAUGGAAAUAGUGAAAAGCUUUUCAAAGCGGAAAUUUGUUUUUCAAACUUACCCAUCCAGUUAAUUGAGCAGCAUCCGCAGCGGCAGCAACGGGAAAGACGAACCGCGCGCCACCCGCCGGCUCGAGCUUCCGGCGCUCAGCUCGGCUCCGCUGCGUACGUGCUCAGUGCGGUGGGUGGGGGUCGGCGUGGGCCGGGGGCCCACAGCCGGUGGAGGGAAAAGGGAGCCGCAAAGAGGAGGCAGGGAAGCUGCGGAGGCGCGUACUGGGUCAACAAGUCCUCCUCGGCGGCCUGGCAGCCGUAAGGGGCCAGAUCCCAGAGAGAUGAGAAUGGGUCUUGUAUCGUAGUUGAAGGAGAAGGAAGGAAAAAGAACGGGAAAGAACGAAAAGGGUGUUAGACUUGUAGCUCUGGGGGGGAAAGGCAGCAAGAUAUCAUGAAGGCCUUUAGGACCGCUUAAAGCACGGCAUUUGCAAGCCGGCUCAUAGCUCUUUAGUGCUCUGCGUUGUACCUGUAGCAGCCUCGGUUCCAGUCCCGCUCAAAGCAGGGUCUCCUGAGGUGGUGACGAGUGCUAGAUUUAAACCUGCGUGAGCUGCCCCAUUUGCCUGCGGCACGAGAGCACGGUUUCCCGCGAUUCCAGAGCUCUGCGCUGAGAAAAAGGGAAACUCCGCCGUGCAUGCUGAAGUCUCGGUCGUCUUGAGAUGCUUGACUGCCCUACGUCUGGAAGGAGGCCGACAGCCUGUUGUCAGAAGCAGGACCUGAGGUGAUUUCAGCACGGCAGGACCGGUGUCUCCUGGAAUUGGGUGCGGUCUCUACAGGAGACUAGUGCUCACCGCUCCUAGCUUGUAUACAUAUGGACAGCCUUCUACUCGCACCGUGAGUCCUCUUAGUUGUCCUGGCAAAUAGAAACUACUUGGCCAAAAACAAACGGCAGGGCCAUGGCGGGAAGAACCAUCAAGCCUCCCCGGUGGCUACCUCAGGAACAGCAUUCAGAAGCUGCUGAGACCACUGGAGAGACUAGGAGCAGGAGUUGAGUUGGAGGUCGUGAUCUUGCAGUUCCUAAGUUCAAGCCCCCCACAUCCGGCUCUGAGCAGAGCAGAUGAGCAGAAUGGAUGUUCUUCCGGAUCGGAAGAUUCGGUGUCUCCCUCUGUCUCGGCCCCUCCCCUGCUUGCACUCAGUCUCUCUCUCUCUCAAAAAGAAAUAAACGUUAAAAGAAUUUUUGGAAAAAAAGAUGAGUGGCUAUAAUUGUGGUAUAUUCCUUCAAAAAAAUACUACUCUUCAAUGGAAUGGAACAGAUUCCUGAUAUGUGGCAACAAUAAAGAUGAACCUCAAAAACAGCAUGUUGAGUGAUAAAAAGAAUACAUACUCUGUGGUUCCAUCCAUGUCAGUGUCUAGAACAGGCAAAACUAAGCGAUAGUGACAAAACUAGAUCACUGAUUGCCUGGGACAGGAGGUUGUGUGGGGGAUUGGCUGCAAAACGGGCACAAGAAGACAUUUUGGAGCAAUAGAAAUGUUCUUUGCUCUUGAACAGGGUAGUGGUUGCCUGGGUGCAUCCAACUUGUCAAAACUCAUCAAACUUGAAAUGGAUCCAUUGUAUUAUUUACAAAUUACACCUUAAGACAUUUGGUUUUAAAAACAAAUCAUUCCAAUUUUAGUGUCUGAAGUGCAAUUAAUUAGUAUUAGCCUUGGAAAGUUCUUUUAGAAAACUAUCACUCAUGUAGUGAACAAUCCCUCCAUAUUUGUUUUGUAUCUUUUUCUUCCGUGAAAUUCAUGCCCUAUUAAACUCAAUACUUUCAAAUAAAAAUAGGCUCUAUAAGAGCUCAGUUUUUUAUAAAAGAAUAUUUGUAAAUAUAUCCUCCCUAUAGGUUUAUCAAAUAUGACUCCAUUAGUAAUUACCUAAUGCAUACAAAAUUAUUUUUUAUUUUAAGCUGUUUCAAAAUUUUACAUACACAUAUUUUGUACGUCAUUUGCAUUUUACCAAUUGUGUAAUUUUACCAUGUAUAGGUUUUGCAAAAAAUUUAGAACAACUUAAAAAUAGAUUUGAAGAAAAAUAUGUAAAGAUGUUAGAAGUAGUUAAUUCCAGCUGGUGGGAUACGGAUGAAUGCUUAUCUUCUUCUGUUUGUUUGUUUGUUUGUUUGUUUGUUUCAUGCCCGAGGUGGGGCUUGAUCUCAAGACCCUGAGACCAAGAGCCGCAUGCUCUAUGGACUAAGCCAGCCAGGUGCCCCUAUUUUUCAUAGUUUUAAACCUAAAAAAUGAAUGUCCUGGAAGUGAAAGAACAGAAUAGAUAUGAAAGAGGUGUGGGGUAGGUGAGAGGAAAACAUAAAGGGGAGGGAAAACCUGGUUCUGGCAGGAAGUGUGUUUAAGUUGGAGAGUUUGAGGGAGCACUUGUGGGCAUAAGAAGGGUUUGCGGGAGGCAGUGGGGUCAUAAGGAUGUUCGGAUAGUUUUAUGCAUGUUGCAUGGUUCCUCCUAGGUGUUUUUUCAAAAGAAUUUAUAUAGACUUAAAUUUCUUGUCCAGCAUUUUUAGCGGUUUUUAAAAGUAGGAGGAGUAUAAACAUUGUGGUUCUCAGCCUAUCUUCUGGAGCCAGGAUGUCUUCAGUCCAAAUUCCUGCUUUCCAAUCCCAUUCACUGGCUGAGUGACUGGACAGGUUGCUUAAUCUUUCCGGAUCUCAGUUUUCUUACAUGGAAAAUGAGGACAGUGAUAUGAGGUGGGUCUGUUGAAAGGAUUCAAUGGUUGACUAUGCCUGGGACAGGGCACUGUGCGUACAAUCAUUAACUGGUAUUGGGGCUCAACACUGCGUAAAGACUGGAUGUGAUGAGAACUGAUUUUAUUUAAGUUACAGCAGUGAUACUUUUCAGUGGCUGUGGGCCCUCCUAGGGACAGGGAAGUACUGCUCUCUGACCAACCGUAAUCUCCUGGGCUGGGCCGAUCUGGGAGUUUAUCAGCUCAUCUGAUCAGCUCAAUCAAUGGAGAAUAGGAAUUCAAUUCCUUGCUUCAAAAACACCCCGGUAAUACUUCCAGUUUAGGUCUGUGAACCAUCGACCUCACAACCAGAACACUCUCUCAUAUCACAAACUGACUCAGAGACAAAGUGUGCAAUUACGGGACGCGCCGCGUGACGUGCUUUACGGUGCAGGGUUCAGUGGCCGCAGCCCGUGGCUUUCACCCUGAGGCCUGAGGGUGAGCCCGACGAGGGGC